rnacentral:misc_RNA from 1 species
UCCGGUUUGUACCGGCGGUCCCGCCAGAGAAGGUAACUGACGGCGGGGGUUGCGCUCGUUGCGGGACUUAACCCAACACCUCACGGCACGAGCUGACGACAGCCAUGCAGCAUCUGUGGUGCACCCUCGAAGGUCACACGUUUCCGUGCGCUUGCAGCACCAUGUCAAGUCCAGGUAAGGUUCUUCGCGUUGCAUCGAAUUAAAGAACAUGCUCCGCUGCUUGUGCGGGCCCCCGUCAAUUCCUUUGAGUUUCAGCCUUGCGGCCGUACUCCCCAGGCGGUGCGCUUAUCGCGUUGGCUUCGGCACAGACAGAUUCGACUCCGCCCACACCUAGUGCCCAUCGUUUACGGCUAGGACUAC